rnacentral:misc_RNA from 1 species
CAACUUUAUGGCGCGUAUGAAAGCCAACUUAUCUCUCAAACCAAAGCAAACUUUUGCAGCACUUCCUUGUUAGUGUUCACACCCCUCAUGUAGCAUACAACAAAAAUAAUACCGCAUUGUGGCUUUCCUAUCUCCACGUCAGCAAUCCAACAUUCCAGGGUUGGACAGUUGGAGCCCCAGAGCCGCAACCCAAAAUUUCAAGGGAUAAUAUAUUAAUAUUUGGGAACCACUGAAGAACAAAGGGCCAACCAUGGCUUCAAUCAGCAAGCCCUUACUUUCUUCAAACUUCUUUGGUUCUAAAAUCCUACUUUCUCCCCCAACUCCUAAAGCCACCAAGUUAUCAUUUCCUUUCCCCUUCUUCUCUACAAGAAUGUCUCAAAUUGCUCAAGCUAUCCUCAAUAGAAAACAGCCCCUUUCAGAUUCUUUGAAAUCGAUCCCUUCACAGGCCACUUUGGCUGCUUUGCUCUUAUCUUCGCUAACACAACAAGCCUUGGCCUUAGACAACGCUACUCCACCCGCGCCACCACCUGUAAUCGAAUCCCAACCCACCAACACCCCUUCAAAUACCUCUCCUUUCUCCCAAAACCUUCUCCUUACUGCCCCAAAACCUCAAUCCCAAUCCACCUCUGACCUCCCUGAAGGCAGUCAAUGGCGAUACAGCGAGUUCCUCAACGCGGUCAAGAAGGGCAAAGUCGAGAGAGUUCGUUUCAGCAAAGAUGGUUCUGCCCUCCAGCUCACAGCUGUAGAUGGCCGCCGAGCUACCGUCAUUGUUCCUAAUGACCCUGAUCUUAUCGACAUUCUAGCUAUGAAUGGUGUGGAUAUCUCCGUCUCCGAGGGAGAUUCCGGUAACGGGCUUUUCAAUUUUAUUGGAAAUCUUUUAUUCCCAUUCCUCGCUUUCGCAGGAUUGUUCCUUCUCUUCCGCCGGGCACAGGGAGGCCCUGGAGGACCCGGAGGAUUAGGCGGGCCCAUGGAUUUUGGAAGAUCGAAAUCGAAAUUCCAAGAAGUGCCGGAGACUGGUGUAACAUUUGCGGAUGUGGCAGGAGCAGACCAAGCAAAAUUGGAACUUCAAGAGGUUGUAGAUUUCUUGAAGAACCCAGAUAAGUACACAGCUUUAGGAGCUAAAAUUCCCAAAGGGUGUUUAUUAGUUGGGCCACCUGGAACAGGGAAGACCCUGUUGGCUAGAGCUGUUGCUGGAGAGGCAGGAGUGCCAUUUUUCUCUUGCGCGGCAUCGGAGUUUGUGGAGUUGUUCGUGGGAGUUGGGGCAUCAAGAGUGAGAGAUUUGUUUGAGAAAGCCAAGGCGAAGGCUCCGUGCAUUGUAUUUAUUGAUGAGAUUGAUGCCGUGGGAAGGCAGAGAGGAGCGGGGCUUGGAGGUGGAAAUGAUGAGAGAGAGCAAACAAUUAAUCAGUUGUUGACUGAAAUGGAUGGGUUUUCGGGCAAUUCGGGUGUUAUAGUGUUAGCUGCCACUAAUAGACCUGAUGUUCUUGAUUCGGCUUUGUUAAGACCUGGGAGGUUUGAUAGACAGGUUACCGUGGACAGGCCUGAUGUUGCUGGUAGAGUGAAGAUACUUCAGGUUUGCACGUCUUUACAACCCUUUCUUCAUUUUCUUUCAUUUUCUUUAUUUGUUCCUGUUCGAUGAAAGUACCAAGUUGGAUUAAUUGACACAACUAAAUUAUCAAAUGCUAGUAUAGAAGGUAAUGACUAAUGAGUCCGCCGCCUUAGAAAGGAAAACGAGAGGAGUUAUAAGCAGAAUUGUAUCGUUCAAGUUAAUGUUUGUGUCUCAAUGUGAUUUUACACCUCCAUCAUGUUACUGUGGUCACAGUUUGUAAGGUACAGAGUAGAUAGCUUAUCCUCAUAUUUCUAUAACCCCUGCCGGCUGCUGCAUGUCAAUAUUCAUCAUGUUUGAUCUGAUUUUGUGCUUGGCCCCUGAUAAUUAGCAGUUAAAAUGCUGCAUUUGACACGUCUGUUUUUGGAGAAAACUGCUUUAUGUUUUGAACUAAUAGGGCUGGAUCAUGUUUUUAUAAAUCUUGCUUUUAUUUAACCUCUGCUUGUUCAACUUGUAACUUUUGUAAAUGACAGGUUCACUCUAGAGGAAAGGCUCUUGCAAAAGAUGUGGACUUUGAAAAGAUUGCCCGGAGAACCCCAGGAUUCACUGGAGCUGAUUUGCAGAAUCUGAUGAAUGAAGCUGCCAUACUCGCAGCAAGGCGUGACCUUAAAGAAAUAAGCAAAGAUGAGAUAUCUGAUGCUCUAGAGAGGAUCAUUGCUGGGCCAGAGAAGAAAAAUGCUGUUGUCUCAGACGAGAAGAAAAAAUUAGUUGCCUAUCAUGAGGCUGGGCAUGCUUUGGUUGGUGCACUGAUGCCUGAAUAUGAUCCUGUAGCCAAGAUAUCCAUCAUUCCUCGUGGUCAAGCUGGUGGUCUUACAUUUUUUGCUCCUAGUGAGGAGAGGCUUGAGUCUGGAUUGUACAGCAGAAGCUACUUGGAGAAUCAGAUGGCUGUUGCAUUAGGUGGAAGGGUUGCUGAGGAGGUGAUCUUUGGUCAGGAAAAUGUGACAACAGGAGCUUCAAAUGACUUCAUGCAAGUUUCACGGGUUGCAAGGCAGAUGGUUGAGAGAUUUGGUUUCAGCAAAAAGAUUGGACAAGUUGCCAUUGGUGGACCUGGUGGAAAUCCUUUCUUGGGUCAACAGAUGUCAUCCCAAAAGGACUAUUCUAUGGCCACUGCUGAUGUGGUGGAUGCAGAGGUAAGGGAGCUGGUGGAGAAGGCAUAUUCAAGGGCCAAGCAUGUCAUCACAACUCACAUUGACAUUCUACACAUGCUUGCUCAGCUCCUUAUAGAGAAAGAAACUGUUGAUGGAGAAGAGUUCAUGAGUCUCUUCAUUGAUGGAAAAGCAGAAUUAUAUGUUGCCUGAUUUCAGUUCCAGGCAUGCAAACCCUGUUGUAAUAUAUCAUUCACACCCACAAACACAUAUCAUAAUCAGUCAGUUAUUCGGUGACCCCAGAAAUGCUAGGGGUCGAGAAUGCUUGAGUAUAGGCAAGAUUCUAGUAGACAUUGCGUUUCUUGUCAAGCUGAGACUUGCCCAUGAAAGUGGAGGACCAUUAUUCUGCCAAAAACUUACAAAUGCUAGUAACUAUGGACCCAAAGCAUACUCUCCGAAAAUGAGCUUCAACAUGUUUUUUUAAGCUCUAGAUGUAGUUUUUUUUUUUUUUUCUAAAAUUAAAUUAAUUAAGCAUAUAGUAAUCUUAAUCUUUA